GGCGGAGCUUCCCGCGAGGGCCCGGCAGCGCCCGGUGCCGGCGUCGCGGAGCAGAGAUAGGCACCAGCAAAAGAGGCAUCCAAAGAGUGAAGCACAGGGCAGAUUUGAAUUGAGUGUGUGGUGAAUUCUGCCAGAAGUAGUUCUGCCAAAUGCAGAAUCUUAUUCAAAAUCACUGAAAGAACAACAAAGCUCAGGACAACCAGGUUUGGAAGCAGGCAAUGAAACCUUCAAUGCCCAUACUUAAACACGAGGGGAGAGAAGACAUACUGCCUUAUUGCACUAAGACGCCCCAGCAAGUUGCAUGCCUGAAACUCCAUUAUGGAUUUUGGCAUCUGAAUGCUUCCACAGGAUAAAAUGAGGAAUGAAACUAUUGGCUUAGAGGCAGCAAAGGAAAUCUGGAAAAUGUAGGCAACACCAUUUACCUACCUUACAAGUAUCACUUUUACAAGGCUUUGAAGACAUGGUACAGCUCAGUCUAGUAACUGAUGAUUACUUUAAACAGAGCACAGGCCCAUCAAGCAGAAAUAAAUAAACAUUUUAAAACAAA